rnacentral:rRNA from 1 species
GACGAACGCUGGCGGCGUGCUUAACACAUGCAAGUCGAACGGAAAGGCCCUGCUUUUGUGGGGUGCUCGAGUGGCGAACGGGUGAGUAACACAUGAGUAACCUGCCCUUGACUUUGGGAUAACUUCAGGAAACUGGGGCUAAUACCGGAUAGGAGCUCCUGCUGCAUGGUGGGGGUUGGAAAGUUUCGGCGGUUGGGGAUGGACUCGCGGCUUAUCAGCUUGUUGGUGGGGUAGUGGCUUACCAAGGCUUUGACGGGUAGCCGGCCUGAGAGGGUGACCGGCCACAUUGGGACUGAGAUACGGCCCAGACUCCUACGGGAGGCAGCAGUGGGGAAUAUUGCACAAUGGGCGGAAGCCUGAUGCAGCAACGCCGCGUGCGGGAUGACGGCCUUCGGGCUGUAAACCGCUUUCGCCUGUGACGAAGCGUGAGUGACGGUAAUGGGUAAAGAAGCACCGGCUAACUACGUG